rfam:Geobacillus sp. WCH70, complete genome.
UGGGCAGUAUCUUUUGCGAAAGAACUGCACCGGGCAAGAAGGAACAAUCAAAUAAAAAACGAUCUGCCUUGAUCCUUAGAAGGACUUGGACAGAGGG